rnacentral:rRNA from 1 species
UACCAGCUCUUCGAGUGGUGUGGAUGUUUAUUGGGCCUAAAGCAUCCGUAGCUGGCUGGGCAAGUCCCCUGUUAGAUCCACCGAUUUAAUCGUUGGAGUGCGGGGGAUACUGUUCGGCUAGGGGACGGGAGAGGCAGACGGUAUUUUCGGGGUAGGGGUGAAAUCCUAUGAUCCCGAGAAGACCACCAGUGGCGAAGGCUGUCUGCUAGAACGCGCCCGACGGUGAGGGAUGAAAGCUGGGGGAGCGAACCGGAUUAGAUACCCGGGUAGUCCCAGCUGUAAACGAUGCAGGCUAGGUGUUUGGACGGCCACGUGCCGUUCUAGUGCCGCAGGGAAGCCGUUAAGCCUGCCGCCUGGGGAGUACGGCCGCAAGGCUAGAAACUUAAAGGAAUUGGGCGGGGGAGCACCACAAUGGGUGAAGCUUGCGGUUU